GAAGAGGAUUCACAGAAAUUUACUGCAUCUUCCUGAAAAGUGGAAUAAUGUUUACUAUGAGCCAUCCUCCCUGGGAUUAUUCCUAUAUUUACCUGAAGCCCAUGGCACCCAUGCUGUGUACACAAAGGACAUGAAGAUCAUUGUCAGCACAGGACGGCUCUGCACCGUUACAGUCUAGAUGUGUGCGUGUGAACCAGAAACCUGUACUCUGCUAAGGUUUGGGCUCCGGCCAGCAACAGCCACAAGCCCCAGACAGACAGCCUUCUCCAUCCCUCUGCUAGAGCUUUCUGUUUCUCUGUCACUGGAGUGUCAGGUUUCUGUUGAGGGUUUUUAGCAACACCCCAUAUCCCAUUUUAGGCAUCACCACUUCCGACAAAGAAGUUUGGUUGAUAUUUGCACAAUUAAAUGAUGGAACCAUAUGCCCAGCAUGUCCAAAGGCAGAUGGAGAUAUGAUUGUCACAUUGGAUGCAAACUUUGGCCUUGUGAGGAAUCAAAGCUCUGGGACAAGUGCGGUUGAUCCAUUACACAGAACCCACGUGUUUAGAGGAAUACCUGCUAUCACAUCUUGACAGCUCAAAGCCUCGA